UACGAAGGUCCCAAGCGUUAUCCGGAUUUAUUGGGUUUAAAGGGUGCGUAGGCGGGUUAUUACGUGAGUGGUGAAAGCCUUCAGCUUAACUGAAGAAUUGCCAUUGAUACUGAUGAUCUUGAGUAUGAUUGAGGUGGGCGGAAUGUGUCAUGUAGCGGUGAAAUGCUUAGAUAUGACACAGAACACCGAUUGCGAAGGCAGCUCACUAAGUCAUAACUGACGCUGAUGCACGAAAGCGUGGGGAGCAAACAGG
rnacentral:rRNA from 1 species